UUAAGUGACUAAGCGUACACGGUGGAUGCCUAGGCAGUCAGAGGCGAUGAAGGGCGUGCUAAUCUGCGAAAAGCGUCGGUAAGGUGAUAUGAACCGUUAUAACCGGCGAUACCCGAAUGGGGAAACCCAGUGUGUUUCGACACACUAUCAUGUCAUGAAUACAUAGUGGCAUGAGGCGAACCGGGGGAACUGAAACAUCUAAGUACCCCGAGGAAAAGAAAUCAACCGAGAUUCCCCCAGUAGCGGCGAGCGAACGGGGAGGAGCCCAGAACCUGAAUCGGCUUGUGUGUUAGUGGAAGCGUCUGGAAAGUCGCGCAGCAAAGGGUGAUAGCCCCGUACACUAAAAUGCACAGGUCGUGAGUUCGAUGAGUAGGGCGGGACACGUGACAUCCUGUCUGAAUAUGGGGGGACCAUCCUCCAAGGCUAAAUACUCCUGACUGACCGAUAGUGAACCAGUACCGUGAGGGAAAGGCGAAAAGAACCCCGGCGAGGGGAGUGAAAUAGAACCUGAAACCGUGUACGUACAAGCAGUGGGAGCACCUUCGUGGUGUGACUGCGUACCUUUUGUAUAAUGGGUCAGCGACUUAUAUUUUGUAGCAAGGUUAACCGUAUAGGGGAGCCGUAGGGAAACCGAGUCUUAACUGGGCGAAUAGUUGCAAGGUAUAGACCCGAAACCCGGUGAUCUAGCCAUGGGCAGGUUGAAGGUUGGGUAACACUAACUGGAGGACCGAACCGACUAAUGUUGAAAAAUUAGCGGAUGACUUGUGGCUGGGGGUGAAAGGCCAAUCAAACCGGGAGAUAGCUGGUUCUCCCCGAAAGCUAUUUAGGUAGCGCCUCGUGAACUCAUCUUCGGGGGUAGAGCACUGUUUCGGCUAGGGGGCCAUCCCGGCUUACCAAACCGAUGCAAACUCCGAAUACCGAAGAAUGUUAUCACGGGAGACACACGGCGGGUGCUAACGUCCGUCGUGAAGAGGGAAACAACCCAGACCGCCAGCUAAGGUCCCAAAGUCAUGGUUAAGUGGGAAACGAUGUGGGAAGGCACAGACAGCCAGGAUGUUGGCUUAGAAGCAGCCAUCAUUUAAAGAAAGCGUAAUAGCUCACUGGUCGAGUCGGCCUGCGCGGAAGAUGUAACGGGGCUAAACCAUGCACCGAAGCUGCGGCAGCGACGCUUAGGCGUUGUUGGGUAGGGGAGCGUUCUGUAAGCCGUUGAAGGUGGCCUGUGAGGGUUGCUGGAGGUAUCAGAAGUGCGAAUGCUGACAUAAGUAACGAUAAAGCGGGUGAAAAGCCCGCUCGCCGGAAGACCAAGGGUUCCUGUCCAACGUUAAUCGGGGCAGGGUGAGUCGACCCCUAAGGCGAGGCUGAAAAGCGUAGUCGAUGGGAAACAGGUUAAUAUUCCUGUACUUGGUGUUACUGCGAAGGGGGGACGGAGAAGGCUAGGCUAGCCGGGCGACGGUUGUCCCGGUUUAAGCGUGUAGGGGGUGUGACCUGGUAAAUCCGGUUNCAUACUAACCCUGAGGCGUGAUGACGAUGCACUACGGUGCAGAAGUAGUUGAUGCCCUGCUUCCAGGAAAAGCCUCUAAGCUCCAGGUAACAUUAAAUCGUACCCCAAACCGACACAGGUGGUCAGGUAGAGAAUACCAAGGCGCUUGAGAGAACUCGGGUGAAGGAACUAGGCAAAAUGGUGCCGUAACUUCGGGAGAAGGCACGCUGGCAUGUAGGUGAAGUCCCUCGCGGAUGGAGCUGAAGCCAGUCGAAGAUACCAGCUGGCUGCAACUGUUUAAUAAAAACACAGCACUGUGCAAACACGAAAGUGGACGUAUACGGUGUGACGCCUGCCCGGUGCUGGAAGGUUAAUUGAUGGGGUCAGCCGCAAGGCGAAGCUCUUGAUCGAAGCCCCAGUAAACGGCGGCCGUAACUAUAACGGUCCUAAGGUAGCGAAAUUCCUUGUCGGGUAAGUUCCGACCUGCACGAAUGGCGUAAUGAUGGCCAGGCUGUCUCCACCCGAGACUCAGUGAAAUUGAACUCGCUGUGAAGAUGCAGUGUACCCGCGGCAAGACGGAAAGACCCCGUGAACCUUUACUAUAGCUUGACACUGAACAUUGAGCCUUGAUGUGUAGGAUAGGUGGGAGGCUUUGAAGCGUGGACGCCAGUCUGCGUGGAGCCAUCCUUGAAAUACCACCCUUUAAUGUUUGAUGUUCUAACUCGGCCCCAUAAUCUGGGGUGAGGACAGUGUCUGGUGGGUAGUUUGACUGGGGCGGUCUCCUCCCAAAGAGUAACGGAGGAGCACGAAGGUUAGCUAAUCACGGUCGGACAUCGUGAGGUUAGUGCAAAGGCAUAAGCUAGCUUGACUGCGAGAGUGACGGCUCGAGCAGGUACGAAAGUAGGUCUUAGUGAUCCGGUGGUUCUGAAUGGAAGGGCCAUCGCUCAACGGAUAAAAGGUACUCCGGGGAUAACAGGCUGAUACCGCCCAAGAGUUCAUAUCGACGGCGGUGUUUGGCACCUCGAUGUCGGCUCAUCACAUCCUGGGGCUGAAGUAGGUCCCAAGGGUAUGGCUGUUCGCCAUUUAAAGUGGUACGCGAGCUGGGUUUAGAACGUCGUGAGACAGUUCGGUCCCUAUCUGCCGUGGGCGUUGGAAGAUUGAGAGGGGUUGCUCCUAGUACGAGAGGACCGGAGUGAACGCACCACUGGUGUUCGGGUUGUCAUGCCAAUGGCAUUGCCCGGUAGCUAAGUGCGGAAAAGAUAAGCGCUGAAAGCAUCUAAGCGCGAAACUUGCCUCAAGAUGAGUCUUCCCUGGGCCUUUAAGGCCCCUGAAGGAACGUUUAAGACUAAGACGUUGAUAGGCUGGGUGUGUAAGUGCAGCGAUGCAUUGAGCUAACCAGUACUAAUGAUCCGUGAGGCUUAACCUU
rnacentral:rRNA from 1 species